UCGCAAGACCAAAGAGGGGACCUCGGCUCUUGCCAUCGGAUGUGCCCAGAUGGGAUUAGCUUGUUGGUGGGGUAACGGCUCACCAAGGCGACGAUCCCUAGCUGGUCUGAGAGGAUGACCAGCCACACUGGAACUGAGACACGGUCCAGACUCCUACGGGAGGCAGCAUG
rnacentral:rRNA from 1 species